UACAUGCAAGUCGAACGAGUUCUCGUUGAUGAUCGGUGCUUGCACCGAGAUUCAACAUGGAACGAGUGGCGGACGGGUGAGUAACACGUGGGUAACCUGCCCUUAAGUGGGGGAUAACAUUUGGAAACAGAUGCUAAUACCGCAUAGAUCCAAGAACCGCAUGGUUCUUGGCUGAAAGAUGGCGUAAGCUAUCGCUUUUGGAUGGACCCGCGGCGUAUUAGCUAGUUGGUGAGGUAAUGGCUCACCAAGGCGAUGAUACGUAGCCGAACUGAGAGGUUGAUCGGCCACAUUGGGACUGAGACACGGCCCAAACUCCUACGGGAGGCAGCAGUAGGGAAUCUUCCACAAUGGACGCAAGUCUGAUGGAGCAACGCCGCGUGAGUGAAGAAGGCUUUCGGGUCGUAAAACUCUGUUGUUGGAGAAGAAUGGUCGGCAGAGUAACUGUUGUCGGCGUGACGGUAUCCAACCAGAAAGCCACGGCUAACUACGUGCCAGCAGCCGCGGUAAUACGUAGGUGGCAAGCGUUAUCCGGAUUUAUUGGGCGUAAAGCGAGCGCAGGCGGUUUUUUAAGUCUGAUGUGAAAGCCCUCGGCUUAACCGAGGAAGCGCAUCGGAAACUGGGAAACUUGAGUGCAGAAGAGGACAGUGGAACUCCAUGUGUAGCGGUGAAAUGCGUAGAUAUAUGGAAGAACACCAGUGGCGAAGGCGGCUGUCUGGUCUGUAACUGACGCUGAGGCUCGAAAGCAUGGGUAGCGAACAGGAUUAGAUAC
rnacentral:rRNA from 1 species